GACGAACGCUGGCGGCGUGCUUAACACAUGCAAGUCGAACGAUGAGAGAGGAGCUUUCUCCUCUGGAUUAGUGGCGAACGGGUGAGUAACACGUGAGCAAUCUGCCCCUGACUGCGGGAUAACUCCGGGAAACUGUAGCUAAUACCGGAUAUGCGCUGAUCAGGCAUAUGGUUCGGUGGUAAAGAAUGUCUGUCCGGGCUGGUCUGGCGGCUUAUCAGCUUGUUGGUGAGGUAGGGGUUGACCAAGGGUACGACGGCUAGCCGGCCUGAGAGGGGGACCGGCGACAUGGGGACUGAGAGACGGCGCAGACGCCAACCGGAGGCAGCAGGGGGGAGUUUUGCAGAAUGGGCGCAAGCCUGAUGCGGCAACCCCGCGUGAGGGAUGACGGGCUUCGGGGUGUAAACCUCUUUUAGCAGGGAAGAAGCGAAAGUGACGGUACCUGCAGAAAAAGCGCCGGCUAACUACGUG
rnacentral:rRNA from 1 species